AAAGCGAGGCCGGGGACUGAAGGUGUGGGUGUCGAGCCCUCUGGCAGAGGGUUAACCUGGGUCAAAUGCACGGAUUCUCACCUCGUACAGUUACGCUCUCCCGCGGCACGUCCGCGAGGACUUGAAGUCCUGAGCGCUCAAGUUUGUCCGUAGGUCGAGAGAAGGCCAUGGAGGUGCCGCCACCGGCACCGCGGAGCUUUCUCUGUAGAGCAUUGUGCCUAUUUCCCCGAGUCUUUGCUGCCGAAGCUGUGACUGCCGAUUCGGAAGUCCUUGAGGAGCGUCAGAAGCGGCUUCCCUACGUCCCAGAGCCCUAUUACCCGGAAUCUGGAUGGGACCGCCUCCGGGAGCUGUUUGGCAAAGAGUAAAAGUGCCUAGGGUGUGAAGUGGGGUAGGGGGCCGCGAAAGCGGUGUCCUGCAGCGUGGGCAGCCUGGGUCAGCCUUAGGACACCAAGGAUGUGAACAGCAGAGAAUUUCAAAGGACCUUGCUAAUAUCUGUAAGACGGCAGCUACAGCAGGCAUCAUUGGCUGGGUGUAUGGGGGAAUACCAGCUUUUAUUCAUGCUAAACAACAAUACAUUGAGCAGAGCCAGGCAGAAAUUUAUCAUAACCGGUUUGAUGCUGUGCAAUCUGCACAUCGUGCUGCCACACGAGGCUUCAUUCGUUAUGGCUGGCGCUGGGGUUGGAGAACUGCAGUGUUUGUGACUAUAUUCAACACAGUGAACACUAGUCUGAAUGUAUACCGAAAUAAAGAUGCCUUAAGCCAUUUUGUAAUUGCAGGAGCUGUCACGGGAAGUCUUUUUAGGAUAAACGUAGGCCUGCGUGGCCUGGUGGCUGGUGGCAUAAUUGGAGCCUUGCUGGGCACUCCUGUAGGAGGCCUGCUGAUGGCAUUUCAGAAGUACUCUGGUGAGACUGUUCAGGAAAGAAAACAGAAGGAUCGAAAGGCACUCCAUGAGCUAAAACUGGAAGAGUG
rnacentral:lncRNA from 1 species